CACUGUACAGUUUUAGGUUCUCUAUCGUACAACUUUACAUUUAUCAUUACAAACGUUCGGUAAUACAUUAUGCAUAAAAUUGCUAAUUAUUUUAUAACUAUCAUUUUCUUGGCAAUAAGUUUGGUCACACAUGGACUGCCAUAUCCAUCGGAAGGCAAUAAUGUGGAUAGGACGCCGCGGCUAAAUAACCCAAGGGUCACACAAGGUCAGCCAAUACCACCAGGUGAGUAACAAACAAAUAUUAACGUCACUUCAUAUACUUUAACUAAGUUUGUUUAUACAUUGUCGUAACUUUGUCCUAGCCAUUGAUCAGUCACAUUGCCGCAGAAAUGAAUUAAUCUGUAUUUUGUCUCAAUUUUUAAGGGAAUGGGGUGAUUUUUCUCAAUUUUGGUUAAUAAAGUUUUUCUUAGGUACAAUUUCUGAUCUAAAGGGUUGUUACUUGAAGAAAUUGGUUCAGUGCUUAGAAAAAUUGGUGGGUAAAGACACAAAAUUAAAAAAUUAAAACACAUUACCUUAAAAACAAUACUUUCUCAACUCUUCGUCGAAGAUAAAAGCCUUGCUCCAAUAAUAAUAAUUAUAAUAUGUGCAACAUGUAUAA